rnacentral:rRNA from 1 species
CAGCAGUCGCCGCGGGAAUACGGAGGGGGCUAGCGUUGUUCGGAAUUACUGGGCGUAAAGCGCACGUAGGCGGCUUGGUAAGUUAGAGGUGAAAGCCUGGAGCUCAACUCCAGAAUUGCCUUUAAGACUGCCGAGCUAGCAGGUGAGAGAGGUAAGUGGAAUUCCGAGUGUAGAGGUGAAAUUCGUAGAUACUCGGAAGAACACCAGUGGCGAAGGCGGCUUACUGGCUCAUACUGGACGCUGAGGUGCGAAAGCGUGGGGAGCAAACAGGAUUAGAUACCCCUGUAGUCCCUGUCUCUUAUAC